rnacentral:tRNA from 1 species
CCGACCGCUGGGCGCGGGCGCUGACCGGGCUGGUGGCCCGGCACGAACCGACCGCCGGGUUCGCGCUCCUGGCGCUCGGA